CUGUCUACGCAUGAGCAAGAAACUCGCGUGUGUUGUUCUUUUCAGUUUUUUCCAGUAUUAUUGUAAACUUGUAUUCAUGUGAUAUAUUUACUGAUUAUCGUGCUAAAUUUGGAGGACUAAUGUGAUUGAAGAUCUGUGCCGUCAAUAAAACUUGAUGCUAUCCUGUCUUUGAUUGAUUAUGACGAGUAGCGAGAGUAGAGGAUCCUCCGGUCAGGCCCGAGGAAAUACAGCACGAAACUCUAUGUGUUUUCUAUGAGAGGUCCUAAUUUAUUGACCUAAACAAACAAAUAAAAUCUGGUGCUACAGCAAAAAUGCUAGGCCGUAGAGAAUAGAAAAGCUUACGACGAAAACGAAUACCACCAUAACAAAACUAGUUUACCAAAUAUCAAAUUAAUUUUAUCGAAAAUGACCUAUAAUUGUCACUAAUGGGAUAAGUUCGUAGAUUUAUUUAUCUAAAAAUAUUUCCUAAUAAAACCAAUCAUUUUUUUUGACGAACAACAAGCAUUUACAAUUACUUUUGAUCUUUCUAUUUUCAUGCAUGCACGUGUACAUAUUGAUAUUUCAUAAUGUUUACAUUUAAUCCAAUUAUCUACUUCAUGAAUUUUUACAAUUACUGGAAAAAACAU